GAGACGCUGGCGGCGUGCCUAACACAUGCAAGUCGAACGCGAGUGUCUUUUUCGUAAGAAAGUUGACACUUGAGUGGCGAACGGGUGAGUAACACGUAGGUUAUCUACCCUCAAGACGGGGACAACCCAGGGAAACUUGGGCUAAUACCGGAUGUGAGCAACUUUUAGUUGUUUGAAAGGUGGCGUAAGCUGUCGCUUGGGGAUGAGCCUGCGUCCUAUUAGUUAGUUGGUGAGGUAACGGCUCACCUAGGCAAUGAUAGGUAGGCGGCCUUAACGGGUGGUCGCCCACACUGGGAUUGAGAUACGGCCCAGACUCCUACGGGAGGCAGCAGUCGAGAAUAGUCUACAAUGGUCGGAAGACUGAUAGUGCGACGCCGCGUGAACGAUGAAUCCCUUCGGGGUGUAAAGUUCUUUUAUAUGUGAGCAGUGCUUCUUAUAUUAACAGUAUGGGGAGAGAGAUAUUAGCAUAUGAAUAAGCAACGGCUAACUCCGUG
rnacentral:rRNA from 1 species